GUGGGGAGACUGCAGACAGAUUCCAGCACCUCCUUCCUAUAUACUGUCAGGAGUUUUCGAAAGAGAUGUCUUAUUCUGAGAGGAUUCGGAAAGCUCAACAAUUCUCAUAUGGUUGGGAUCUUAAAACAGUGAAAUUUUGGUCCCGCUAUGUGAAGAGUGACAUGUCAGACAACAGAAAUUGAAGAGGCUAUAGCAAAUCUCGUCUACAAAUCUCAACUUUGCUCUUGUUGCUUUGUGAUACAGGAUAUGAAUCUGGAUGCAGCCUGCAGGUCUUCACUGUGAGAUGGUUGAAGGGCAUGACAUGAGCUGCCGUGCCUGACAUCACAUUCAAAUAUCCAGUGGCUAUUUCUGCAUCAUGAGACAAAAGGAGAUGUUAAUCCAUUUAGAAUAAAUGAAGAAGAAAGUUAUUUCAAACAAAUAUUUUAUGAAGUGAUCUGCAUACUGUAUAUUCCCUAACUUCAAAACUGGUUAAAAUAAAACAUAUGGAUAUAUCCUCACGUUUCCAAUGUUUAUAUUUGAGAUGUUCAAGAACACUGAUCCCAUUCGUAACCAGACCUUUGUGAAGGCUAAUCGUUUCAGUCUCUGUUACUUCUGCUGAAAGCCUACUUAACGCAUUCAUCUCUCCAUGGAAAUAACUGGAUUGCUCUAAUCUCUAGUGCCAUUUACAUCUACCCAACUUACACUUCUGAACAUUCGAAACACUAAUGGGCAAUCGGUAUAUUGUAUAAAGUUAAUCUAUCCAUUCCUUCUGAAGAGAAUUCCUUUUGAUACUGAUUGAUUUCUUUUUGAUUAGAAGCCAAGUAUUUCAGAGAAAAGCAUGGUAUUUUGAUUUUGUGAGAGCAAGCAUGACUACAGGGAAGGCAUUUAGAUUUUUGUUCAAAAAUGUCAAAAGUGUAUGACCAUAUUGCUACAUGUUUUAACCAUAUCUGGAGUUUAUUGUUUCUAAAUUCCAUGACAAUAUAGUAAGAUUUGACUAUCUUAGUUGAAACAACCAUCUAUUGCUAGGCAUAAAACAUCUGUUUCAUUAACCAGACUGCACACAGAUUUCUUUUGCCUGGAUACUGCAGAGAAAUGUAUUAAAUAUACAUUCUAAAAAAAUCACAGUGGAGAGCUGUAAGGACAACUGCCAGGCAGGCUGCAGUUGCAGAUCGCCAGAUGUAUUUCACCUUAUUGAUUCUUUACCAGCUUUGUUUUCAGGUGUCUUUUUCUAUGAUCAAGUUCACCUUGUAAAAUGACCUAUUCACCUUACUACAAUGUUUG